UACAGAGGUGGCAAGCGUUGUUCGGAAUUACUGGGCGUAAAGGGCGCGUAGGCGGCCCUUCAAGUCCCGUGUGAAAUCCCUCGGCUCAACUGAGGAAUUGCACGGGAAACUGUUUGGCUUGAGUUCGGGAGAGGGAAGCGGAAUUCCGGGUGUAGCGGUGAAAUGCGUAGAUAUCCGGAGGAACACCGGUGGCGAAGGCGGCUUCCUGGACCGACACUGACGCUGAGGCGCGAAAGCUAGGGGAGCAAACGGG
rnacentral:rRNA from 1 species